GACGAACCGUGCGAACGUUGUUCGGAAUCACUGGCUUAAAGGGCGCGUAGGCGGCUUGCCAAGUCAGGGGUGAAAUCCAGCAGCUUAACUGUUGAAGUGCCUUUGAUACUGGCGAGCUCGAGGGAGGUAGGGGUCUGUGGAACUUCUGGUGGAGCGGUGAAAUGCGUUGAUAUCAGAAGGAACGCCGGUGGCGAAAGCGACGGACUGGACCUCUUCUGACGCUGAGGCGCGAAAGCUAGGGGAGCAAACGGG
rnacentral:rRNA from 1 species